UACAGAGGGUGCGAGCGUUGUCCGGAAUCACUGGGCGUAAAGGGCGCGUAGGUGGCCUGAUAAGUAGGGGGUGAAAUCUCGAGGCUCAACUUCGAGGCUGCCUUCUAAACUGUCGGGCUUGAGCAGAGUAGAGGCAGGUGGAAUUCCCGGUGUAGCGGUGGAAUGCGUAGAGAUCGGGAAGAACAUCGGUGGCGAAGGCGGCCUGCUGGGCUGUUGCUGACGCUGAGGCGCGACAGCGUGGGGAGCAAACAGG
rnacentral:rRNA from 1 species